UUAUAUGAAUGCAAUCGUUCUUUUUCCAACUGUCGUUUAAUGAUCUUUGGUUCGUAAGUAGUUGCAGAGGGCCGAAACCCUAGCUGUCUUUAAGCUUAUUUCCCCGAGGCUUGGCCGAGGGUCGACCUGUUAGUAUGUCCGACGGAGGCCGAACCUAUUAUCACUUGCAAUAUUUUACCAAGUGUUUUCCCUCUCGGCUCGAGCCGAAGGGUUCACCGAAGGUCGAUCGUCCAAUAGUCCGAAUCACCGAAGGUACCCUCGGCUCCAGCCGAAGGGUCUGUUAGAUGCUACCCCUUCGGUCAGGUCCGUUCGGCUAUGGCCGAACUCCGAGCCGAAGGGGUGAUUGAGCCUCCAAGGUGUGGACCUUCAAUCAUCCGUUCCUCAGGGUUAGAGGUAGGAGAAUUCUCAGUUGCCGUAAACCAGCUCUCAUAUUAUCCAGUCUCGCGGAUUUCAAGAUGAAUUACAACUUAAAAAGGGUUCAAAAAGACAAUAAUUGCAAAGAACGACAGACGGA